UUUCUGGUUUCCCAAAUUCCCAUUGCUCCACGUCCUUUGGGUUGAACAAGCGCGCCACAAACACAAGGACCCCCUUCCCAUCUCUUUUUUUAAAAAAGGACCCCAUUUCUGUAUCUCGGAAUAGCAAACAAACCUUACGAGGCUUUGACGGAAGGUUUCCUUUCGGUUCAAUUUCUUCUUCUUUCCACAUUAAAACUCAAAUUCCAAGAUUCGAAAUUCGUUUCGCACAACUUUAUAAAUUAGUAUCGAUUUUCUUCAACAUCGAAGAAAAUUGGGUUAUAACUGGGUAUCGAAUUCCUUCAAUUUAGGGCAUUUUGUGGGGUGGUGGGUUGUUUGUGGGUUGAUGGAUUGUAGGGUGUGUAGGGGGACCGGAGAAUCGUGGCCGAGGAUGGGCGGAGGGAAGCAGUACGUCGGUGGUGGGUUUAGCCAUGAGAGCGAGCAGGACUUGGGGGCCAUGGUGAGUGAUUUCUUGGAGAAUGGAAGCGGUGGGCCCGACUCCAGGUAUAGCAGCGACAGCGAUUCUGGCCUCUGCGAUCUUGUCCACCUUGCCGACACCAUUUCUUAUUACAAGCUGUCUGCAGAUCAGUAUGAGAGCGACUUGCUAUCGGUGGUCAAUUCUCUCUUGCAGUCUAUCAAGGACACGGAUCUGCACCUCGUCAUGUCUGGUCCAUGUAAUGCAAGCUGCAUCAGGUUUUCUCUGGUGAAGCUUCUGAGGAUUUCUGGUUAUGAUGCUGCUGUUUGUUCAUCUAAGUGGCAGGGUGGUGGGAAAGUCCCUGGAGGGGACCAUGAGUACAUUGACGUGAUCAAUCACAAUGUUUCUGGAAGCUCCGAGCGCUCCAUCAUUGACAUAGACUUUCGCAGCCACUUUGAAAUAGCUAGAGCUGUUAAUUUCUACGACAAAAUACUCAACUCCCUUCCUGUCGUUUAUGUGGGCACCUUAACAAAGCUGAAACAGUUCCUCCAAGUAAUGGUUGAAGCUGCCUCAUUUUCUCUCAAGCAGAACUCAAUGCCUCUUCCCCCGUGGAGGUCUCUUGCUUAUUUGGAAGCAAAGUGGCACUCUCCGUACCAGAGACAGUUUUAUCCAGAUGAAAAGAUAAGCAACCUUCCGUCCGCACAUAAGCAGUGUAGCGGACACUUAAAGAGGCUGCAAUCUCUGCUUCAAUCCGAAAUUGAGGUAGAGCGAGUGCUGAAGCCUAUAAACGGAAAAUAACAGGAGGCUGAAGCUUGAGAGGUGUAGGUACUCUUCAAACAGGGCUCUUUGAGAUGUACAGAAUGUGCAGCACUUCAGUUCCCCUCUAUCUCCGUUUCAUCUCCACCUCGAAGGAGUUAAUUGAUGCUUGAGCCAGAAAAAUGAGCAUGCCCGCGUGGGUUGCUUACCAGCAAUUCCUCUACUGGCAGAUUGAUUUUUUACAUUCGAGUGUAAUUGAUUAAAACUGCGAGCCAAAAUGCUUUUGUAUGUGUGUUUUGCCGACACUACGGGAAGUGUUUUUUUGUGUCAUUAUGCUAUGACUCUCUUUUCCUUGUGAAUGUAAAGAGACUGUUCUGCAUCAAGUGCCUAAUCUAUUGAACCAAAUUGAAUGA